rnacentral:rRNA from 1 species
ACCACACACGUCCAACGGUUGAACCCAGGGGAUCUUCGGACCUUGCGCUAAUAGAUGAGCCUAAAUCGGAUUACCUAGUUGGUGGGGUAAAGGCCUACCAGGGCCACCAUCUGUAGCGGGUCUGAGAGGAUGAUCCGCCACAGUGGGACUGACACACGGGCCAUACUCCUACGGGAGGCCUCCUUGGGGAAUAUUGGACAAUGGGGGGAACCCUGAUCCAGCCAUGCCGAGUGUGUGAAGAAGGCCUUAUGGUUGUAGAGCUCUUUACGCAAGGAUGAGGGUACUGGGAUUAAUACUACCAAGUUCUGGACGUUGCUCGCUUAAUAGGCCCCGGCUAACUCUGUGCCAGCAGCCGCGGGCCUACAGACGCUGCAAGCGUUAAUCGGAUUUACUGAUCCUGAAGCGUGGGGUCGGCGGCUAACUGAAUCAGGAUGUCAAAUCCCCCAGCUGAACUUGGGACCCCCCUUCUAUACUGGUUAGCUAGAGUGUGGGAGAGGAUGGUAGAAUUCCAGGUGUAGCGGUGAAAUGCGUAGAGAUCUGGAGGAAUACCGAUGGCGAAGGCAGCCAUCUGGCCUAACACUGACGCUGAGGUACGAAAGCAUGGGGAGCAAACAGGAUUAGAUACCCUGGUAGUCCAUGCCGUAAACGAUGUCUACUAGCCGUUGGUCUCUUUGAGGGAUUAGUGGCGCAGCUAACGCGAUAAGUAGACCGCCUGGGGAGUACGGUCGCAAGACUAAAACUCAAAUGAAUUGACGGGGGCCCGCACAAGCGGUGGAGCAUGUGGUUUAAUUCGAUGCAACGCGAAGAACCUUACCUGGUCUUGACAUAGUAAGAACUUUCCAGAGAUGGAUUGGUGCCUUCGGGAACUUACAUACAGGUGCUGCAUGGCUGUCGUCAGCUCGUGUCGUGAGAUGUUGGGUUAAGUCCCGCAACGAGCGCAACCCUUUUCCUUAUUUGCCAGCACUUUGGGUGGGAACUUUAAG